CUCAAUCGGAAGAAGUGCAGCUCCCGCCCCCUUUGCCGUCCAUUUCUGAAAUAAGCUCCUGGCCCCUUUGCCGUCGAUCUCCCCGCCGCGCGCUUCGAUCUCCGCCGUCUAUCUCUGCAUCUUCUCCCCAUCGUCGCCUUCAGUUGCUAUUGCCAUUGCUGGAACAAUGAUCUGAAGACCGAUAAUCGUGAACUACUACUCUACUUGUUUUUUUGGUAAAUUUUACCUCGGUUUUUGGAUAAAUUACCAAAUCUCGUUGAAGCUACCAAAGGCAAGGAUACUCUCGUUUUCCACUGCGCUCUCAGCCAGGUGUUUAUUUAUUCCUCCUUUUUGUGUGUUCGGAUUAUUUAAAAAUGUGAACAUAUUAUGUGUUGUUCUCAGCCAGGCAAAGAACAAUUGACAUGUUAUCAAGGUUUUUAUGUCAAUGGAUUUAAAUUUCAGACAGUGGAAUACGGGUCGAGAAACAAAACUGACAACAGUGGAAUUUGUGUAAAGGGGUCGGUGUUAGGUGGAGUUCAACAAGAUUAUUAUGGGCGUUUGUUGGAGGUUGUGAUUUUGGAGUAUCCUGUGCUACCAACCAAAAAAACCACUUUGUUCAAGUGUCAAUGGUUUGACCCUUCUCCAACUUGGACGUUUGUGGAUCGAGAAUUCAAGUUGGUUUCCAUCAACCAAACUCAUUUAUACAAUAAAUAUGAACCAUUUGUCCUAGCAUCACAAGCUAUUCAAGUUUAUUACUGCACAUACCCAAGUAAAAAUGUGACUAGGCGAAACUGGUUGGCAGCUUGCAAAGUGAAGGCAAGAUCGCUUGUAGAAGUUUCGAGCAAUGAAACUUCUUUGCCUUUCCAAGAGGAGUUGUUUACCCAAGUUCAUCAUACAAUAAUAGAUGAUGAUCCAAUUCCCGUUCAUCCUGAUGGUGGCUUGGUAGACAUGGUAGAGGAUGAGGAUGGAGAUGAAGAUGCAAUUCAUGAAAGCAUUCUGAAAACAUCAUCCUCUGAAGCCGAUGAUUUAGAUGAUAUAGAAUAGUUAUUAUUUUGUCAGUUCUUGUCAACAUUUACUUGUCUGUUUCAUUUUCAAGGUACAAUGCAUGUUAUUUGUCUGUUUCAUUUACUUGUCUGUUUCAAGGGAUGAAGAUGAUAUAUGAUUUAGAUGAUUUUGAUGUUACUUGUCUGUUUCAUUUACUUGUCUGUUUCAAGGGAUGAAGAUGAUAUAUGAUUUAGAUGAUUUUGAUGUUACUUGUCUGUUUCAUUUACUAAGCAAUCAUUUUCUCUCUAUUUUUUUAUGAUCAUAAUAAUUAUUAAUUAUUAUAUCGCUAUCAUAUAUCACUAUCAUAUACCAUUUUUAGAUAGAAGAUGAGUAGUACUGCUUCGCAUCCCACCGACUCAGACUCGACUGAGUCUCGUGCUACUGAGACCCGUGCUACUGAGACACACGUUUCUAAGACGCAGGCGUCGGCAGUCCGUCCAGAAUUAGCACCUGACGGUAGGCGGAUCUGUUGGUUGGAAAAUGGCAUUUUGAGGCCGACUGAGAAGAUUCGACGUACAACUACUUCAAGCUUUCAAGGCUUCAUAGAUCCUGAAGGCGUCAAUUGGAAGAGUUUGUCGCCCAGCACCAUAGACAUAUAUUAUGAUGAGUUUAAGAAAUCUUUUACAUGGGAUGGGGAAGUUUACAGCUCGGACGUCAUUCGUAAGACAUGGAUCUCACAAGCUAGGCAUGCUUAUAAAGAUUUUGUCCAUGGAUGUAAGGUUAUUAUCGAUGAAGGGAGCAUACCUCAAUUUCUUCAUAAAGACAUUGUUACAAAGUGGAAGGAAUAUUGGGCGACACCUGAAUUCCAAGUUAAGUCGCAGCAGGCGAGCAAGAAUCGUCGAUCUGAGCCUGCUGGUCCAGGUACAUGAUUAUCUAUCCACUAUGGAGGCUCUCACAGUGCUAUUAGUCAUGCUGAGCAUGUGGCUCGAGAGAAGAACAUUUCUAUCGCAGAUGCACAUUAUGAUACUUUCAUGAGGAUGCACUUUAAGAAAGGACAGUUCGAUGGACGAGCACAGACUCAGGGUCUUGAGAUACAUAGUCGAGUCGAGGAGUUACGCUCUACUCUUGGACGAGAUGUCACUCCAGAUGAGGUCAGUCAGAUCUAUAGGGAGGUGGUGACGCCAGAUCCGAAGGGGCGUAGACUCGGAUUGGGCAUUAUGUCUCAGAUGCGUUCCACUGGUUCGACGAGCACUCAUUCGACGUGCUCGUCUCAAUUUCCUUCAGCAGCAGUCUCAGCUCAGAUUGCACAGCUCCAGACAGAGUUAGAGCAGACACAACAUAGAGAGGCUACUCUACAAGCUACUCUACAGGCUGAGGUGCAGGAGCGACGACGAAAAGAAGCAGAAAUGGAGGCUGAGGUGCAGGAGCGACGACGAAAAGAAGCAGAAAUGAAGACUAGGCAGUUGGAAAUGCAACAACAAAUUUCUCAGCUUAUGAAAUUCUUCCAAUCAUCCUCAGGGUCGUUCCCCCGUUCCUCGUCUCCACCCUAAAUACAUGUUUUGUACUUAUUAUAUAUCGUUAUUAGAUUUUUAUUUAGAUGUUUAUGAAUUUAUUACACUAACAGGUAUCCUUUAUGAUAUUUUAUUAGUUUGAUUUUGA